rnacentral:rRNA from 1 species
GACGAACGCUGGCGGCGUGCCUAAUACAUGCAAGUAGAACGCACAGUUUAUACCGUAGCUUGCUACACCAUAGACUGUGAGUUGCGAACGGGUGAGUAACGCGUAGGUAACCUGCCUGGUAGCGGGGGAUAACUAUUGGAAACGAUAGCUAAUACCGCAUAAUAUUAAUUAUUGCAUGAUAAUUAAUUGAAAGGUGCAAUUGCACCACUACCAGAUGGACCUGCGUUGUAUUAGCUAGUAGGUGAGGUAACGGCUCACCUAGACGACGAUACAUAGCCGACCGGAGAGGGUGAUCGGCCACACUGGGACUGAGGCACGGCCCAGACUCCUACGGGAGGCAGCAGUAGGGAAUCUUCGGCAAGGGACGAAAGUCUGACCGAGCAACGCCGCGUGAGGGAAGAAGGUUGUCGGAUCGUAAAGCUCGGUUGUAAGAGAAGAACGGGUGUGAGAGUGGAAAGUUCACACUGUGACGGUAUCUUACCAGAAAGGGACGGCUAACUACGUG